rnacentral:rRNA from 1 species
UACAGAGGUCUCAAGCGUUGUUCGGAUUCAUUGGGCGUAAAGGGCUCGUAGGUGGCCAACUAAGUCAUACGUGAAAUCCCUCAGCUUAACUGGGGAACUGCGUCUGAUACUGGAUGGCUUGAGUUUGGGAGAGGGAUGCGGAAUUCCAGGUGUAGCGGUGAAAUGCGUAGAUAUCUGGAGGAACACCGGUGGCGAAGGCGGCAUCCUGGACCAAUACUGACACUGAGGAGCGAAAGCCAGGGGAGCAAACGGG